rnacentral:rRNA from 1 species
GGGUCAGGAGGUUGGUCGUGCCACCGGUACGUACUGGUCUCACUGAUUCCUCCUUCCUGAAGAACCGUAAUGCCAUUAAUUUGGUGUUGCGGGGAAACAGGACUGUUACUUUGAAAAAGUUAGAGUGUUUAAAGCAAGCUAACGCUUGAAUACAUUAGCAUGGAAUAAUGAAAUAGGACGAUCGAUCCUAUUUUGUUGGUUUCUAGGAUUGACGUA